rnacentral:tRNA from 1 species
UCCUCGUUAGGAUAGUGGACAGUAGCUCUGCUUGUCACGCAGAAGACCUGGGUUCGAUUCCCUGACGGGGAG